CGGCAGCGCGGGGAGCUUGCUCCCUGGCGGCGAGUGGCGGACGGGUGCGUAACGCGUAGGAAUCUACCCAGUAGCGGGGGACAACCCGGGGAAACUCGGGCUAAUACCGCAUACGCUCCCUUUUCGAGAGAAGGGGGAGGAAAGCAGGGGAUCUUCGGACCUUGCACUAUUGGAUGAGCCUGCGUCGGAUUAGCUAGUAGGUUAGGUAACGGCUGACCUAGGCGACGAUCCGUAGCUGGUCUGAGAGGACGACCAGCCACACUGGGACUGAGACACGGCCCAGACUCCUACGGGAGGCAGCAGUGGGGAAUAUUGGACAAUGGGGGCAACCCUGAUCCAGCAAUGCCGCGUGUGUGAAGAAGGCCUUCGGGUUGUAAAGCACUUUCAGUAGGGAAGAAAAGCCUCGGGUUAAUACCCCGGAGUCUUGACGGUACCUAAAGAAGAAGCACCGGCUAACUCCGUGCCAGCAGCCGCGGUAAUACGGAGGGUGCGAGCGUUAAUCGGAAUUACUGGGCGUAAAGCGUGCGUAGGUGGUCUGGUAAGUCAGGUGUGAAAGCCCUGGGCUCAACCUA
rnacentral:rRNA from 1 species